GAUGAACGCUGGCGGCGUGCCUAAUACAUGCAAGUCGAGCGAACGGACGAGAAGCUUGCUUCUCUGAUGUUAGCGGCGGACGGGUGAGUAACACGUGGAUAACCUACCUAUAAGACUGGGAUAACUUCGGGAAACCGGAGCUAAUACCGGAUAAUAUUUUGAACCGCAUGGUUCAAAAGUGAAAGACGGUCUUGCUGUCACUUAUAGAUGGAUCCGUGCUGCAUUAGCUAGUUGGUAAGGUAACGGCUUCCCAAGGCAACGAUGCAUAGCCGACCUGUGAGGGUGAUCGGCCACACUGGAACUGAGACGCGGUCCAGACUCCUCCGGGAGGCAGCAGUAGGGAAUCUUCCGCAAUGGGCGAAAGACUGACGGAGCAACGCCGCGUGAGUGAUGAAGGUCUUCGGAUCGUAAAACUCUGUUAUUAGGGAAGAACAUAUGUGCAAGUAACUGUGCACAUCUUGACGGUACCUAAUCAGAAAGCCACGGCUAACUACGUG
rnacentral:rRNA from 1 species